GAUGAACGCUAGCGGCAGGCUUAACACAUGCAAGUCGAGGGGCAGCACAAGGCAGCAAUGCUGAGGUGGCGACCGGCGCACGGGUGCGUAACGCGUAUCCAACCUUCCCGUUACUCUUGGAUAGCCUUCCGAAAGGGAGAUUAAUACAAGAUGGUGUUGAAAUUCCGCAUGUUAUUUCAACUAAAGAUUUAUCGGUAACGGAUGGGGAUGCGUGACAUUAGAUAGAUGGCGGGGUAACGGCCCACCAUGUCCACGAUGUCUAGGGGUUCUGAGAGGAAGGUCCCCCCACACUGGUACUGAGACACGGACCAGACUCCUACGGGAGGCAGCAGUGAGGAAUAUUGGUCAAUGGGGCGAGAGCCUGAACCAGCCAAGUCGCGUGAGGGAUGACGGUACUAAGUAUUGUAAACCUCUUUUGUCAGGGAAUAACAUCACCUACGUGUAGGUGCCUGCAUGUACCGUAUGAAUAGCAUCGGCUAACUCCGUGCCAG
rnacentral:rRNA from 1 species